AGUGGCGCACGGGUGAGUAACACGUGGGUAACCUGCCCUAGAGAUCGGGAUACCCCCUCGAAAGGGGGGCUAAUACCGGAUACGCUCCUCGGGUCGAGAGAUCUGGGGAGGAAAGGUGGCGCAAGCUGCCGCUCUUGGAGGGGCUCGCGGCCUAUCAGCUAGUUGGCGGGGUAACGGCCCACCAAGGCUAUGACGGGUAGCUGGUCUGAGAGGACGACCAGCCACACGGGGACUGAGACACGGCCCCGACUCCUACGGGAGGCAGCAGUGGGGAAUUUUCCGCAAUGGGCGAAAGCCUGACGGAGUGACGCCGCGUGUGGGAUGAAGGCCUUCGGGUCGUAAACCACUGUCAGUGGGAAAGAUGGGUGUCGGCGCGAUAACCGCCGGCAUCUGACGGUACCUGCAGAGGAAGCCCCGGCUAACUCUGUGCCAGCAGCCGCGGUAAGACAGAGGGGGCAAGCGUUGCUCGGAAUUACUGGGCGUAAAGGGCGCGUAGGCGGGAUGGCAAGUCGGUCGUGAAAUCCCUCGGCUCAACCGAGGAGCGUCGAUCGAUACUGCCGUUCUUGAGGGUUGCAGAGGAGACUGGAAUUCCCGGUGUAGCGGUGAAAUGUGUAGAGAUCAGGAGGAACACCGGUGGCGAAGGCGGGUCUCUGGGCCGAUACUGACGCUGAGGAGCGAAAGCGUGGGGAGCGAACAGGAUUAGAUACCCUGGUAGUCCACGCCGUAAACGUUGGGCGCUAGGUGUGGGAUCCCUUCCACGGGUUCCGUGCCGCAGCUAACGCAUUAAGCGCCCCGCCUGGGGAGUACGGCCGCAAGGCUAAAACUCAAAGGAAUUGACGGGGGCCCGCACAAGCGGCGGAGCAUGUGGAUUAAUUCGAUGCAACGCGAAGAACCUUACCUGGGUUUGACAUACACUGGAAAGCCGUGGAGACACGGCCUCCGCAAGGCCGGUGUACAGGUGGUGCAUGGCUGUCGUCAGCUCGUGUCGUGAGAUGUUGGGUUAAGUCCCGCAACGAGCGCAACCCUUGUCCUAUGUUGCCAGCGGCCAGUGACUUUGUUACUGGGCCGGGGACUCAUGGGAGACUGCCGGGGUCAACUCGGAGGAAGGUGGGGACGACGUCAAGUCAUCAUGCCCCUUAUGUCCAGGGCCUCACACAUGCUACAAUGGCCGGUACAGAGGGCUGCGAAGCCGUAAGGUGGAGCGAAUCUCACAAAGCCGGUCUCAGUUCGGAUCGGGGUCUGCAACUCGACCCCGUGAAGUCGGAGUCGCUAGUAAUCGCAGAUCAGCAACGCUGCGGUGAAUACGUUCCCGGGCCUUGCACACACUGCCCGUCAC
rnacentral:rRNA from 1 species